AGAAUGUUAAGCCCUGUGAUGAUGACUCUAAUGAGUUUGAGUGGUGCCGCUUGGUUGUUUCUUGCUGAAACUCGUCAUCUUUA
rfam:Arabidopsis lyrata subsp. lyrata unplaced genomic scaffold ARALYscaffold_2, whole genome shotgun sequence.